GUGUGUGGUGGGUAGUUUGACUGGGGUGGUCGCCUCCUAAAAAGUAACGGAGGCUUGCAAAGGUACCCUCAGCAUGGUCGGUAAUCAUGCGUAGAGCAUAUUAGUAUAAGGGUGCUUGACUGAGAGAGGGACGCCUCGAACAGGUACGAAAGUAGGCUAAAGUGAUCCGGUGGUUCCGUAUGGAAGGGCCAUCGCUCAAAGGAUAAAAGGUACUCCGGGGAUAACAGGCUGAUCUCCCCCAAGAGCUCACAUCGACGGGGAGGUUUGGCACCUCGAUGUCGGCUCGUCACAUCCUGGGGCUGGAGAAGGUCCCAAGGGUUGGGCUGUUCGCCCAUUAAAGUGGCACGCGAGCUGGGUUCAGAACGUCGCAAGACAGUUCGGUCUCUAUCUGUUGUGGGCGUAGGAAUAUUGAGGAGAUCUGACACUAGUACGAGAGGACCGUGUUGGACAAACCUCUAGUGUACCAGUUGUGCCGCCAGGUGCAUUGCUGGGUAGCUAUGUUUGGCAAGGAUAAGCGCUGAAAGCAUCUAAGCGCGAAGCCUACUCCAAGAUGAGUAUUCCCUAAGGGUCGUUCAAGAUUAGGACGUUGAUAGGUCAUAGGUGGAAGUGCAGUGAUGUAUGUAGCCGAGUGAUACUAAUUACCCAUGAGCUUCCUUUU
rnacentral:rRNA from 1 species